UUCCCCUUUUAUUCCCUUUCUCCUUUUAUUCCCUUUCCCCUUUCCUUUCCUUUCCUUUCCUUUCCCCUUUCUUUCUUUUCCUUUCCUUUCUCCUUUCUUUCCUUUCCUCUUUAUAAAUGGGACCUCUCUACAGCUACUAAGAUCCUACAGAUGAACCAAUGUAGAAAUAUGAACAAGAAAAAGUAGAGGCAAAAUCUAGAAUACACAUGGUGACCUUUUCUAUACAGACUUUUGGACUAUUGCUUCCAUGUAAAUUUGCAUAAUGAAUGCUUUUUUUUGCUUUUUUUUAAAAGGUUCAUUGAAUAACAUGGUAAGCAACAAUAACUAUGGAUUGGAACAGAUCCAGAAAUUGAAAGAGCUCUUGACACUAUGAAGUUUUUUUUCAAGAUGCUCCAUUUCCAUACUUGUUCUUUUGUAUGCUAGGUUGCCUACCAUUAUGUUUAUAUAAUUCUGACAGUGUUCUUAAUGACACACUAACAGAUUGUAAAACACGCUGCUGGCAUUUAGUUGUUUUUUAUAUUUUUAAAACAAUGUCCUUCAUGUAACAGUAGUUAAGCGCGGCAGAAGGACAUCAUUAGAGCCAUGGUUAAACUGUAAUUUACACCAUUAGGAAGGCAGGAGCAAUUUUUAUUGCUUGGCAAUUUUCUUGCUGAAAUAUUUGGACCAUAUGGCUCAAUUUGUGUAAUAACCUUAAUUUCAGCACCCUUCAGGUCUGCAUUCAUCUCCUACGGAAUAGUAAAAUGCGGUUUAGCAGAAAAGGCAACUGUCUAUACUUAGAGAGUUGAGAUUAAUAACAUGUCACGUCCUGUUUUGGGUGAAGGAAUUCGAACAGCCGCCAGAUGGUAUCUCUGCAAAUAACUGUCAGGGGUCUUGAUCUAAUCAAUACAACGUAUUAAUACAUCUCCCUUCACUCUUCCUCAAGGGGCUAGUGCUCAACAUCUGGAAAGAUUGGGGGGACCGCCAAGUAGAAGGCUGAGUCUUUUCAGAAUCAAACUGAGCCCAAUUAAUUUUUCAUGUAUACUUGAUAACUAUUUCAUAAUGAGAUAUGUGUCUUGACGGAUUUAGGGCUGGCAGUAUGGGCUGCAUGGGUUUCCUAUCCCCAUUCAGUCCACUUACAGAAACCAACCCAUUAAUCAAGCUAUCUGGCAUAAAACUGAAAUCUCAGCUCAGCAAGAGAUCAAUAACUAUCCUUACACACACACUCACAGAGAGAGAAAAAGGGGGAGGGGGUGAAGGAAAAACACACUUGUGGGCAAAGUUAUCAGCCAUGACUUUAGUAAUUGUUGUAGCAAAAAAUAAACCUCACAAGCUGUAAUUACUGAAUAGGAACAAUAUACAGGAAAAUUCAUUACCUGGUUCCUGUCAAAAAAGCUACCUUUUAGGCUUUUAAAUAUAUAAUGUAUUGUGACUUUUUAGAAACACAAGGCACCUGGCUGAUGUUCAUUGAGAUUAUUUUAAUUGCCAUGACUAACUUUUAUGCAAUCCAGCUGAUUUAGAGAGCCAUUUUCAAACAGCUGGGACAAUUGCCAAACAGAAGAUGAUGCUCAUAACAAAUAGUAGACAGGAAGAGAUCCAUGCAAGGUUUGAUUUGCUUGGCUGGGGAUUGCUCCCCACAGCCAGGAAGCAGAGGGAAAGGAGGUUGUUAUGUGGAACAAGACCACUGAAACAAUAAUAACAAUAUAAAGAGUGGAAGUGAUCAAUAAGGAUGUGAUUUUCCAAUGAUUUAAUGAUUUUGAUCCAGAAUUCACGCUCUGUUUCUUCCUGUGCUAAUUUGGUAUUCCUCCAAAUGCAUCUGGGAGAGAUACAUUUAAAACACCAUGAGAAGUACAGAAGAUUAUAAUGAAGAUGUUUCCACCAUUUUAUCUAGAGGGCAAUUGUUGCAACAGGGCAGUCACAACAAAGGACAGUGAUACUGAUUCAUGUCCUUAUCACAUCAGGCUUAGAUGCUUAGGCUUAUUGCAAGGAGCUUCACACAAGGCUGCCCCGGAAAAUGACUUGAAACUUAUGGUUGGUUCAGGAUGCAGGAGCCCAGUUGCUAACAGGGAGGGGUGUAUUCAGUAGUAUUAUAGUAACAACUUCACUUGUUGCAUUAGUUACUGAUCUUUAUUGCUUUCCUUACUUUUCGUAAAAACCUUAAAAACAUUUUUUAUUUUUUUUUAUUUUAAAAUGUAAGAACCCAUGAGUAUCGAUGAUGGACUUGGGCUGCCUUUGCAACAUUUUGUGGAUCAUGCUUCUAUUUUUUGGAUUGUUUGUUUACUGUUGCUGGUUUUACUUUUACUUUAUUGAUAUUGUAAACAGUCCUGAGCCUUUUAGAUAGGGUGAUGGACAAAUGUUUGAAUAAAUAGAUAAAAUGGUAACCAGCCCCCUAAGACCCUGGAAUAUUGGGCAAGUUCAAAGUAUUUUAAAUAAAAUAAAAUAUUAAUAUUGUAAAUAAAAGCAUGCUUUGCAAUAAAAGAAAACCAAGCAUGAAAUGUAAUAACAACAUCCAAUAUUUUUAUUUUCUUAUUCAUAAUGCAAGGCCUGGUUUAUAAUGGACAUAGUAAAAGUGGGCAUAGCAGAGCAAUCUUGAGGCAGUGCCUUUCAAAAUGUGGGAACAACCUUCUUCUGGUUUCUGCAAAAUAUUCUUCAGAAACUGAGGACAUCAUUCCUGGUAACCAAACCCUUCGUUCAGUCCCAAGCUGUUUAGGAUUCUCAGGAUUAAAAUCAACAUCUUACCUUGUGCCAGUAUAUUGCAAUAGUGAUAUCAGCAUUUGUUUUGCUUGCUAAGUGACUUUGAAAUGUUUAAGUCAGGGGUUUUUUAAACUUGUGGACUUCAACUCCCAGAAUUCCUCAGCCAGCGUGCCUAGCUGAGGAAUUCUGUGAAUUGAAGUCCACAAGGCAUAAAAGGGCCAAGUUUGAAGACCCCUGGUUUAAGUUGUCGCAGUAGAGAACUCUUUUUUAUGUAACUAAAGCAGGAGGAAUUAUUUCCAAGACCACUAAUUUAGAAAUAGUGGUAGCUGAUACACAAGGGAUAAGCGUGCAAUGUACUUUUGGCCGCCUUCUCAACCUGGGUACCCAGAAAUAGUUUGGGAUCAAGGAACACUCACUAUCUCCAAGAUAUCUUUAAUAUACCUCUACCAAGCUAUUAAAAUUAUGAGAUGCAGUAACAAUUAGACUCUUAUAUACUGAAACAUUUCUACUGAAAGAUGUAAUGUAACAAUAGUCAAAAAUAAUUCUUUUUGCUAACUUUAUCUUAAAAUUGAAUUCAAAUAGUAUGCAUAAUCUGGGAAGCAUGUAUAGGAGGGGACAUUUCAUAUGAUUGAGAAAAUAAAGGUCUCCCUCUAUAAGAAUUUGUUCUCCCUACAGUUAGUCAAGUUAAAAUACUUAAACAGAAAUGUUAUCCAUUUAAACAUUGCAGUAUUGCUGUAAUGUUUUUCUAGGCUUCAGGAGUUCACAGUUGUUUAGCCCAAUACAGUCUGGGAACACUGGAGAAGUUAUCACCCAUCAAGGAGAGAAACAUCAGCUAUCUAUGAUUGAACUCUCAACCUUCCAAGCGGGAGAUGAACAUCUUCACCACUAGGCCACCAUGUCAUGCUGCUCUAUAUUAAUUUUAAUGCUAAUUAAUAACUAACUAACUAAAAUUAAUAUUAAUGUUACUAUUAUUUUGCAUAACAUGGAAUUCUCUGCUGUAUAUGCUCAUUUCACAGGGUUGUAAUGGUCUGUUGGUAGUUUCUGAGAUAUUCCUGAUGUAUGGCAGUGUAAUUCUUUUGUUUGUGUUGAUUGUACUGUAUUGGGUUGAGUGGUCAGGGACUUUUUGAUAAAGUUGUGUGGAUAUCUGUUUUGUUGGAAUAUGUUGUAUAGAUGCUCUAUUGCCUUUUUUUGCUGUUCUAGGUUGCUGCAGUAUGUUUAGGUUCAUCCAAAUAAAGUUCUUAUGCAGUUUUCUUGCAGGAGGUUGUGUUGUUGCUUUAGUAGUGGAGCAUCUGGUUAGUAUGGGUGGUUUUUCUGUAGACUUGCAUUUCUAGUUUGCCAUUGUGGUCCCUGAUGAUCAGGAUCUCUAGGAAGGGUAGUGAGUAGUUGUUUUUUUCUUCUCUAAUAAACUGGAUUCCUUUAAAACUGUUAUUGAUGGUUCUGUGGGUGUUCUCUAACUGGUCCUUUUUUAUUAUGGUGAAGGUGUCGUCUACAUAUCUGAUUCAUAUUUUUGGUUGUAUUUGUGGAAGUGCUAUGGCUUCUAUAAAUUGCAUGAUGACUUCUGCUAUAAGUCCUGAAAGAUGUGAUCCCAUAGGUAUCCCUUUAAUUUUUUGGUAAAUUUGUCCAUCAAAUUGGAAGCCAAAGAAGCCAACAGCAAACAGUCAAACCAAAGAAUCUCUAAGACCAGCCCCACCAACACUGACAGCCAAGCCAACAGAAUAUAAACUGACACCAAACUGCACUCCUUAUUAGAUGAUGCUGCCUAGUUUGGAUAAUGAAAUGUCUGCAAGAAAACAAGCAAGCUUAGAGAGCACCAAGGACUGCUAAUGAACGUCUUGCCUAGAAUGAUGUUUUUGUUUUAGACAAUACCUGUUUUGACAACUGAUGAACUUCUUAAAUAGUAGCAACAGGAUAUAUCUAAGUUUGUUUAUCAAGGGGAAAAAAGUUAAUCAUAAGAUAUUAUAAGAGGCAAAGGAAAGGAACUUUAUUAGCCAUUUGUCAAGGGAAUACAAAAUAAAAUCAAGAGAACAACUUGUGGCAGAAGAAUAUAGGUGCCACUGGUUUUCUUAUUUACACCUAUCAGAAAGAUUUACAGUAGAGAAAAAGUUUAUGGCAAGACUGAUUUUGAAACAAAAUUGCUAAAAGGUAUUCACUGAUUGACAGGAUUUUAAAGAUUAAUGUACAAUUGAGACCAGAAGUCUUCUCUUGGGCCUGAUGAACAAACAGUUGGAAAAAAGUCAUGGAACUUGGUUUUGUUUGUUUUUGUAUAUGAUACACAACUUGUACUUGAUACACAAAGAAAGUAUAAUUUUAUAUUUUUUUCUUUUUUCUAUUUUUCUCUAACUUUUUUCUUUUCUUGCACUUUUUUCUUUUUCUUUUUUCUUUUCUAUUACUUUGUGUUAGCUUUUACGUUUGUGUUUAAAAAGCUUUAAUAAAAAAUAUGCUAAAAUAUCUAAACAAAUAUCUGAUAAUUAAACUGAACUUAAAUUAUUUUAAGCUUAAUAUACUUAAAUUGAAUAAUUAUUCUAAUAUUAGUGUGUGUGUGUGUGUCCAAAAUGCAUUUUCAGAGCUUUAAUGUACUGUUUGGGAAGUUUAUUUGAAAACUUUUUCAUUUUUUUUUCAUAUAGAAAACUUCGAGUGUAAAGACAGGCAAAUUAACAUUUUUGAAAUCAAACUUGCAUGAUAACUUUAUUUGAUCAAUGAAUGGUACAUUUUGCCUACUGCCUACUCUUGUGAGCUAUCUUGGAAUUGUUGUCUAGAGAAUUUUUAAAUUUG